AUUGAACGCUGGCGGCAUGCCUUACACAUGCAAGUCGAACGGUAACAGGUUAAGCUGACGAGUGGCGAACGGGUGAGUAAUGUAUCGGAACGUGCCCAGUCGUGGGGGAUAACUGCUCGAAAGAGCAGCUAAUACCGCAUACGACCUGAGGGUGAAAGCGGGGGAUCGCAAGACCUCGCGCGAUUGGAGCGGCCGAUAUCAGAUUAGGUAGUUGGUGAGGUAAAGGCUCACCAAGCCGACGAUCUGUAGCUGGUCUGAGAGGACGACCAGCCACACUGGGACUGAGACACGGCCCAGACUCCUACGGGAGGCAGCAGUGGGGAAUUUUGGACAAUGGGCGCAAGCCUGAUCCAGCCAUGCCGCGUGCGGGAAGAAGGCCUUCGGGUUGUAAACCACUUUUGUCAGGGAAGAAAAGGUUCUGGCUAAUACCUGGGACUCAUGACGGUACCUGAAGAAUAAGCACCGGCUAACUACGUG
rnacentral:rRNA from 1 species